UCUCUGCUGAUCUGAGUCUGCCUGCGGCAUGGACCUGCAUCUUCCCUGAAGCAUCUCCAGGGCUGAAAAAUCACUGACCAUGGCACCAUGGUCUCAUCCAUCUGCACAGCUGCAGCCAGUGGGAGGAGACGCCGUGAGCCCUGCCCUCAUGGCUCUGCUCUGCCUCGGGCUGAGUCUGGGCCCCAGGACCCACGUGCAGGCAGGGAAACUCUCCAAACCCACCCUCUGGGCUGAGCCAGGCUCUGUGAUCAGCCGGGGGAACCCUGUGACCAUCCGGUGUCAGGGGACCCUGGAGGCCCAGGAAUACCAUCUAGAUAAAGAGGGAAGCCCAGAACCCUGGGACACACAGAACCCACUGGAGCCCAAGAACAAGGCCAGAUUCUCCAUCCCAUCCAUGACAGAGCACCAUGCAGGGAGAUACCGCUGUUACUAUUACAGCCCUGUAGGCUGGUCAGAGCCCAGCGACCCCCUGGAGCUGGUGGUGACAGGAUUCUACAACAAACCCACCCUCUCAACCCUGCCCAGCCCUGCGGUGACCUCAGGAGAGAACGUGACCCUCCAGUGUGGCUCAUGGCUGAGAUUCAACAGGUUCAUUCUGACUGAGGAAGGAGACCACAAGCUCUCCUGGACCUUGGACUCACAGCUGACCCCCAGUGGGCAGUUCCAGGCCCUGUUCCCUGUGGGCCCUGUGACCCCCAGCCACAGGUGGAUGCUCAGAUGCUAUGGCUCUCGCAGGCAUAUCCUGCAGGUAUGGUCAGAACCCAGUGACCUCCUGGAGAUUCCGGUCUCAGGUGAGGAAGCCACAGCCUUCUCUAGUACAAUUCAGGGAAGCCAGACAGGUUGUGGAGAGCUUUACAGGCAGGGCAGCCCCUGCUAAGAAAGACAAAAAGGGGAAGGAGAACACAGAAAUCCUAGGGAUGCA
rnacentral:sRNA from 1 species